ACCGGGCACGGUGGCAUGUGCCUGUAGUCCCAGCUACUCGGGAGGCUGAGGUGGGAGGAUCGCUUGAGCCCAGGAGUUCUGGGCUGUAGUGCGCUAUGCCGAUUGGGUGUCCGCACUAAGUUCGGCAUCGAUGUGGUGACCUCCCAGGAGCAGGGGACCACCAGGUUGCCUAAGGAGGGGUGAACCGGCCCAGGUUGGAAACGGAGCAGGUCAAAACUCCCGUGCUGAUCAGUAGUGGGAUUGCGCCUGUGAAUAGCCACUGCACUUCAGCCUGGGCAACAUGGCGAGACACCGUCUCU
rnacentral:SRP_RNA from 1 species